rnacentral:rRNA from 1 species
AUUGAACGCUGGCGGCAUGCCUUACACAUGCAAGUCGAACGGCAGCAUGGAGAGCUUGCUCUCUGAUGGCGAGUGGCGAACGGGUGAGUGAUGCAUCGGAACGUACCGUGUAAUGGGGGAUAACGUAGCGAAAGUUACGCUAAUACCGCAUACGACCUGAGGGUGAAAGCAGGGGAUCGCAAGACCUUGCGUUAUACGAGCGGCCGAUGUCAGAUUAGCUAGUUGGUGAGGUAAAGGCUCACCAAGGCGACGAUCCGUAGCGGGUCUGAGAGGAUGAUCCGCCACACUGGGACUGAGUCACGGCCCAGACUCCUACGGGAGGCAGGAGUGGGGAAUUUUGGACAAUGGGGGCAACCCUGAUCCAGCCAUGCCGCGUGAGUGAAGAAGGCCUUCGGGUUGUAAAGCUCUUUCGGCCGGGAAGAAAUCGCACAGGCUAAUACUCUGUGUGGAUGACGGUACCGGCAUAGGAAGCACCGGCUAACUACGUGCCAGCCGCCGCAGUAA